GGGGAAAUGCACUCAGACGUCCUGUCCCGUCCCGCCGCCCCUUCGUCCUUGUUGACAUAACGAGCUGCUUGGUUUGAUGUGUACCCUCCCCACCGUACGAGUGACACGAGGCAGACUCAUCGUCCUGCCGAUUAAAAGUUAACCCACCUGGAGCGCCCCUCCCACCGCCCCCCUGGGCCGUGGCUCCGGGUGGUGCAGGUGGCUCUGGGCAGUUUGGAGCCUGCGGGCAGGCGUCAGAGUGACACUGUGUCCUGGGGGAACGUGGGGUCAGCCCUGCCUCGCCCCCACUCCCACGUGGGCCGAGUUCUGUCCGCGGCGAAGCACUCUGGGGCCAGGUUACCCCGUCAACCCUCGGUUCUGUGAAAACUUAGCAAGUCCCUGCCAGAUCCUUGAAGGUCACAGUUUUAAAAAGUUUUGCUUCCCACAGUGAAGGUUCUACCUCUAAAAAACAGAACAAGAGACGCAAGCGUGCAGGCACAUGCAGGGGCAACGCUCGCAGCCCGAAUCCUGCUCACAAGCAGCCCGAGGGAGCGUGCUCCCCCCCGAGGCAACUAGAAAGUCAGACGGACUACAGACCGCAACCGCUUUCCAGACACCGGACGAGGGACAACGGGCGAGCCUCCACCUGCAGCUGUGAAAUGGGGCAGGCACACGGUGAGUUCCAGAAGCACAGGCUAAUAAGCCUGAGCAGUUGUCCUUGGAGACAUCCCGUGAACAGGCCUUUAAAUAAGAGGGAAUCGCGAGCAGCUGUGGAGGAGGAUCAAGACGGAGCCGGUGCUGCACAGACGGAGGCAGGUAGUUCCAGGCAAACACGAGCCUUUUCCAACAGUCGGCAGAGACUGCAAACCCCUGUGCCUUAGUCCUGUUCCAGCCGAGGCCGGGGGGGGCUUCCAUGGGAGAAGUCACCGGCGCGCCGGCCCCAGAGGGAGCUCGGAGGAGGUGGCCAGUGACCGCCAGCGCUGAGAGUUCUGCCCACUGCCGGUAGCCACAGCCCACCGUGAGACCCGUGAGAGCGCAGAAACCAGCUGCCUUCUUCCCAGUGAAUCUUCUCAACUUCAGAUAUUUCGGUACAGCAGUGACCGAAAGCUCCUUACGAAGUGUGUGACUGAAGCCUGGAAAGGAAUCAGUGUAAAGAAACGUGAAGCAAACCACAGAGCCAGGGGCCAGCACCCACACACGGCAAAGGCAGUAUUUUUCUGAUCCAGAAAGACUGGUGUUGGGGAAAAGGCUGCCAAACCCACCUAGGCUGGGUUUUUGUGUCCGUGUGUCCCCACCCAGCCACGGGGGAGCCACCAGUCACCGGAGAGGAAACCGCUGGGGGCAACGUGCACUCCCCGAUGAGGGACUGGCAGCAGAGCCUGCAGCGGAGCCCACGGUGCCCACAGGUGACUCUAAGGUGCCUGCAAAGCCAGGGCCACCGGGGCAACCGCCUGGCUCGCCUGGGAGGAGAGGGCUGGAGUGGGCAAGGGCCUGGCCCAGGUGGCCGGGCCGGCAGUAAGCCCCGGCGUGAGGUUCUAUGUUGCCCUUCUCCAGGGGUUGUUGUCCUGAAACCGUUAGGUCGGCUGCUGGGCAGUCGCCAUGCUCUGACUUAGCCCCCUGUUCACGGCUCCCGGAGGCUCCCGGGGCAUUGUGCUAGAAGGUUCCUUAGGGAAUGAGGGUUCCAACGGCCACACGUCCUGCCCGGCACCCUCCAUGCUUCUGGGGAAAGUCCAGUUUUGCGCAUGCUCACUUGUGCCUGCGCGCACGCCCCCAGGGCAGGAGAAAUUCUUCCCCUCAGAACAGACUCCGGGCCUCCUGGGUGAGGACUCGUGAGGCUGUGGCCCGUGCAGCUGGCGCCGGAUUUGUGGACGCCUGAAGGGCGGAUCUCAGAGGAGCAGCGGCUGUGAUCCUGCCCCACAAUCAUCGGGUGCCCAGGCCCAGGCCCCGGCCGUGCCGGCAGCCCGAGUGCGACCGGAGGGGCGCGGGGUGCGGGGGCUCCAGGGGCACGGCCACCGGGGCAGCGAGGCCUGUCCGGGCCAGCGUGC